rnacentral:piRNA from 1 species
AAUGGAAGUUAGGAAUCCUACGG